GUGCACCAGGCGCGAAUCUUCGGCAAUGGGCGAAAGCCUGACCGAGCGACGCCGCGUGCCCGAAGAAGCCUUUCGGGGUGUAAAGGGCUUUUCUUGGGGAUAAAUUCGCUCCUCACUUUCGUUCGGAAUUAUAUUGAGAAACGAGCGGAAGUGAGGAGCGAAUGAUAGUACCCAAGGAAUAAGGGACCUCUAAUCACGUGCCAGCAGAGGCGGUAAUACGUGAGUCCCAAGCGUUAUCCGGAAUUACUGGGCGUAAAGCGUGCGUAGGCGGUCCAAAUAGUCAUGUGUUAAAAUCCUUAAGCUCAACUUAAGGGCUGCAUAUGAUACGUUUGGACUAGACCCAGUCAGAGGCCGGCGGAACUCACGGUGUAGGGGGUGAAAUCCGUUGAUAUGUGGGGAACACCAAAAGGCGAAGGCAGUCGGCUGGGGCUAAAGGGUGACGCUGAGGCACGAAAAGCGUGGUAGCGAAGAGG
rnacentral:rRNA from 1 species